rnacentral:rRNA from 1 species
GACGAACGCUGGCGGCGUGCUUAACACAUGCAAGUCGAACGGAAAGACCCUGCUUUUGUGGGGUGCUCGAGUGGCGAACGGGUGAGUAACACGUGAGUAACCUGCCCUUGACUUUGGGAUAACUUCAGGAAACUGGGGCUAAUACCGGAUAGGAGCUCCUGCUGCAUGGUGGGGGUUGGAAAGUUUCGGCGGAUGGGGAUGGACUCGCGGCUUAUCAGCUUGUUGGUGGGGUAGUGGCUUACCAAGGCUUUGACGGGUAGCCGGCCUGAGAGGGUGACCGGCCACAUUGGGACUGAGAUACGGCCCAGACUCCUACGGGAGGCAGCAGUGGGGAAUAUUGCACAAUGGGCGGAAGCCUGAUGCAGCAACGCCGCGUGCGGGAUGACGGCCUUCGGGUUGUAAACCGCUUUCGCCUGUGACGAAGCGUGAGUGACGGUAAUGGGUAAAGAAGCACCGGCUAACUACGUG